rnacentral:rRNA from 1 species
AUUGAACGCUGGCGGCAGGCCUAACACAUGCAAGUCGAACGGUAACAGGAAGCAGCUUGCUGCUUCGCUGACGCGUGGCGGACGGGUGAGUAAUGUCUGGGACGCUGCCUGAUGGAGGGGGUUAACUACUGGAAACGGUGGCUAUUACCGCAUAUUGUCGCAAGCCCAAAGGGGGGUACCUUAGGGCCUCUUGCCUUCGGCUUUGACCAGAAUGCGCGUGGGAUUAGCUAGUUGGUGGGGUAACGGCUUACCAAGGCCACGAUUCGUAGCCGACCUGAGAGGGUGAGCAGCCACACUGGAACUGAGACACGGUCCAGACUCCUACGGGAGGCAGCAGUAGGGAAUAUUGCACAAUGGGCGAAAGCCUGAUGCAGCCAUGCCGCGUGUAUGAAGAAGGCCUUCGGGUUGUAAAGUACUUUCAGCGGGGAGGAAGGGAGUAAAGUGAAUCCCUGCGCGCAUUGACGUUGCCCGCAGAAGAAGCACCGGCUAACUCCGUG